AUUGAACGCUGGCGGCAGGCCUAACACAUGCAAGUCGAGCGGAUGAAGGGAGCUUGCUCCUGGAUUCAGCGGCGGACGGGUGAGUACUGCCUAGGAAUCUGCCUGGUAGUGGGGGAUAACGUCCGGAAACGGGCGCUAAUACCGCAUACGUCCUGAGGGAGAAAGUGGGGGAUCUUCGGACCUCACGCUAUCAGAUGAGCCUAGGUCGGAUUAGCUAGUUGGUGGGGUAAAGGCGUACCAAGGCGACGAUCCGUAACUGGUCUGAGAGGAUGAUCAGUCACACUGGAACUGAGACACGGUCCAGACUCCGACGGGAGGCAGCAGUGGGGAAUAUUGGACGAUGGGCGAAAGCCUGAUCCAGCCAUGCCGCGUGUGUGAAGAAGGUCUUCGGAUUGUAAAGCACUUUAAGUUGGGAGGAAGGGCAGUAAGUUAAUACCUUGCUGUUUUGACGUUACCAACAGAAUAAGCACCGGCUAACUUCGUG
rnacentral:rRNA from 1 species